rnacentral:rRNA from 1 species
AAAACUUUCAACAACGGAUCUCUUGGUUCUGUCAUCGAUGAAGAACGCAGCGAAAUGCGAUAAGUAAUGUGAAUUGCAGAAUUCAGUGAAUCAUCGAAUCUUUGAACGCACAUUGCGCCCGCCAGUAUUCUGGCGGGCAUGCCUGUCCGAGCGUCAUUUCAA